rnacentral:pre_miRNA from 11 species
UGUAAACAUCCCCGACUGGAAGCUGUCCAUCUGCAGAGCUUUCAGUCCGAUGUUUGCU